rnacentral:rRNA from 1 species
UACGGGGGGGGCAAGCGUUGUUCGGAAUUACUGGGCGUAAAGCGCGUGUAGGCGGCCCUGCAAGUCGGGUGUGAAAUCCCACGGCUCAACCGUGGAAGUGCACUCGAAACUGCAGGGCUAGAGUCCUGGAGAGGAAGGUGGAAUGCUUGGUGUAGAGGUGAAAUUCGUAGAUAUCAAGCGGAACACCGGUGGCGAAGGCGGCCUUCUGGACAGUGACUGACGCUGAGGCGCGAAAGCGUGGGGAGCAAACAGG